GACGAACGCUGGCGGCGUGCUUAACACAUGCAAGUCGAACGGAAAGGCCCUGCUUUUGUGGGGUGCUCGAUUGGCGAACGGGUGAGUAACACGUGAGUAACCUGCCCUUGACUUUGGGAUAACUUCUGGAAACUGGGGCUAAUACCGGAUAGGAGCUCCUGCUGCAUGGUGGGGGUUGGAAAGUUUCGGCGGUUGUGGAUGGACUCGCGGCUUAUCAGCUUGUUGGUGGGGUAGUGGCUUACCAAGGUUUUGACGGGUAGGCGGCCUGAGAGGGUGACCGGGCACAUUGGUACUGAGAUAGGGCCCAGAAUCCUACGGGAGGCAGCAGUGGGGAAUAUUGCACAAUGGGCGGAAGUCUGAUGCAGCAACGCCGCGUGCGUGAUGCCGGCCUUCGGGUUGUAAACCGAUUUCGCCUGUGACGAAGCGUGAGUGACGGUAAUGGGUAAAGAAGCACCGGCUAACUACGUG
rnacentral:rRNA from 1 species